rnacentral:rRNA from 1 species
GUCGAACGCUGGCGGCGUGCUUAACACAUGCAAGUCGAACGGAAAGGCCCUGCUUUUGUGGGGUGCUCGAGUGGCGAACGGGUGAGUAACACGUGAGUAACCUGCCCUUGACUUUGGGAUAACUUCAGGAAACUGGGGCUAAUACCGGAUAGGAGCUCCUGCUGCAUGGUGGGGGUUGGAAAGUUUCGGCGGUUGGGGAUGGACUCGCGGCUUAUCAGCUUGUUGGUGGGGUAGUGGCUUACCAAGGCUUUGACGGGUAGCCGGCCUGAGAGGGUGACCGGCCACAUUGGGACUGAGAUACGGCCCAGACUGCUACGGGAGGCAGCAGUGGGGAAUAUUGCACAAUGGGCGGAAGCCUGAUGCAGCAACGCCGCGUGCGGGAUGACGGCCUUCGGGUUGUAAACCGCUUUCGCCUGUGACGAAGCGUGAGUGACGGUAAUGGGUAAAGAAGCACCGGCUAACUACGUG